UGCAAGAAGAGGAAAGCAAGACGCGUCAAAUCUAUCAAUCAGCUUCAGCCAAAGCCGAGAGCCCCCCCAAAAGAGAGAGAAGCACGCAUCCGAUCGCCGGCGACGACCGAAUCUGUGCCGGGCGGCAGGAAGGAGAGCGGCGAUGGCAGCGAUGGCAUCCCUGUACCGGCGUGUCCUUCCUUCGCCGCCGGCUGUGGAGUUCGCGUCGGAGGAGGGGAAGCGGCUGUUCUCGGAGGCCCUGGAGAGCGGGACCUUGCAAGGCUUCUUCAACCUCAUCUCCGUGUUCCAGACGCAGUCGGAGCCGGCCUUCUGCGGCCUCGCCUCCCUCUCCGUCGUCCUCAACGCCCUCGCCAUCGACCCGGGCCGCCAAUGGAAGGGCCCCUGGAGGUGGUUCGACGAGUCCAUGCUUGACUGCUGCGAGCCCCUCGACAAGGUGAAGGCGGAGGGCAUCACCUUCGCCAAACUCGCCUGCCUCGCGCACUGCGCCGGUGCCAAUGUCCGCUCCUUCCGCGCCGACCAGUCCACCAUCCACGACUUCCGCCACCAUCUCGUCCGCUCUGCCUCCUCCCAGGACUGCCAUCUCAUCGCAUCCUACCACAGGAAGCCUUUCAAACAGACUGGAACCGGCCAUUUCUCUCCAAUCGGCGGCUACCAUGCCGGCCAAGACAUGGCGCUUAUCCUGGAUGUCGCCCGCUUCAAAUACCCUCCUCACUGGGUUCCACUCCCACUGCUUUGGGAAGCCAUGAAUACAACUGAUGACGCAACUGGUCUACUCAGGGGGUUCAUGCUUAUCUCAAGGCACACUGCAGCUCCUUCAUUGCUCUACACAGUGCUUUUGUGCAGAGUUGCAGAGAUGAAAGCUGGAAAAGCAUGGCGAAGUAUUGCAUGGAAGAUGUACCCGAUCUUCUUAAGGAUGAGAGUGUAGACAAUGUUCCAGCACUUCUGUCCCGCUUAGUGAAAUCCCUUCCUGCCAAUGCUGGAAAUUUGAUCAAAUGGGUUAUUGAAGUUAGGAGACAAGAGGAAGGAGGAUCAGGAUUAAGCAAAGAGGAGGAAGAAAGGCUUAUUUUGAAGGAAAUGAUACUACAGCAAGUCCGUGAUACUGAGCUUUUUAGAUUAGUCCGUGAACUGCAAUUCACUAAGCAGCCAUGUUGUAGUUGCUCAUAUUCAAGUGAUGAUGAUUCCUUUACCCGGAUUGCAGCCUCUGUGUGCUGUCAAGGGGCCGCAUUGCUAACAGGGAAUCUUUCAUCAAAAGAUGGGUUCUGCUGCAGAGAAACUUGCUUCAAAUGUGUACAAGUGGAUGGUGAUGGGCCUAAGACUGUCGUUACAGGCACAGCGGUUUCAGGAGUCAAUGAACAAAGUGUUGAUAUGCUUCUACCGAUAUCCACAUUGGAAACAAGCGUGUGCAAUUCAAAUUCAAGCAACGAGGUUGUCAAAUAUCCAUCUAGAACAGAUAUUUUAACUGUUCUAUUGCUGGCUUUACAUCCUAGCACAUGGGUGGGCAUUAAAGACGAGAGGCUGAAAGCUGAAUUCCAGAGUCUUAUUUCAACAGACAUUCUUCAUGAUGAUCUUAAACGAGAGAUAUUGCAUCUAAGACGGCAACUCCAUUAUGUGAGGUCCUGUAAAGAGGAGGAAUAUGGAGAUCCUGUGCCACAAUCCCAUUAACAAUGAUGCAAAUCGCGCAGUUGGUUACCCUGGAGAUGCAAAAAAAAGGGGUUAGAGGAGGAACUACAUACUCCGUAUUACCUUUGUUUCGAGUGAGGACUUCUCAUUUUUGAGACACCUGACCUGAGACGGAUCCGUGUAGACAUGUUCAUGUUCAUCACCUGUGGUCGUUUCUCUUGUUAGUGACAACUGACAACUAGCGGGGAGGCACACGCUAAUUGUGCGGCUGGUGUCCUUGCAAAAGUUUCUCAUAAUAACGCAAUGGCAGAUAUAUUUUCACACUUUAUUAUUAAAUAAAAAUAUUGAAAAGGGCAAUUAAGGAGUAGGAUAAA